GACGAACGCUGGCGGCGUGCUUAACACAUGCAAGUCGAACGGAAAGGCCCUGCGUUUGUGGGGUGCUCGAGUGGCGAACGGGUGAGUAACACGUGAGUAACCUGCCCUUGACUUUGGGAUAACUUCAGGAAACUGGGGCUAAUACCGGAUAGGAGCUCCUGCUGCAUGGUGGGGGUUGGAAAGUUUCGGCGGUUGGGGAUGGACUCGCGGCUUAUCAGCUUGUUGGUGGGGUAGUGGCUUACCAAGGCUUUGACGGGUAGCCGGCCUGAGAGGGUGACCGGCCACAUGGGGACUGAGGGACGGCCCAGACUCCUACGGGAGGCAGCAGUGGGGAAUAUUACACAAUGGGCGGAAGCCUGAUGCAGCAACGCCGCGUGCGGGAUGACGGCCUUCGGGUUGUAAACCGCUUUCGCCUGUGACGAAGCGUGAGUGACGGUAAUGGGUAAAGAAGCACCGGCUAACUACGUG
rnacentral:rRNA from 1 species